AGCUCCAAUAGCGUAUAUUAAAGUUGUUGCAGUUAAAAAGCUCGUAGUCUGAACCAAGGCCGUCGUUGAACGUCCGGUGUGCUGCCGUUCCGGCCUUCUGGGCUGGUCGGGAGCCCCGUGAACGUGACAUACGCGCGGCCGGUUUGUACUUCGGAGGAACCCGCGUCCUUUUCAUUAAGUGCGCGGUUGGGAUUCCGAUAGUUUACUUUGAGAAAAAUAGAGUGUUCAAAGCAGGCGGUUUUUGCCUUUCCUUUUGAAUACAUUAGCAUGGGAUAAUAGAAUAGGACAUUGGUUCUAUUUUGAUGGUUCACGGACCGAUGUAAUGAUUAAUAGGGACAGUUGGGGACAUUCAUAUUCCAUGGCUAGAGGUGAAAUUCUUGGAUUCAUGGAAGAUGAACUA
rnacentral:rRNA from 1 species